AUAUUAUGAUCUAUAUGUCAGUCCCGCAGGUUUUAUUUGACCAUGACCUCAAUUGCACGGUUCAUUGCACAGUGUUAAGUUUCUGUGUUUUGGUCUAUUUUUCUUAAACUAUAAGUAGUAGGUCAACUAUAUUUGUUGUAUGGAAGCUUUGUUAGCUGUACAUGUCUGCCUGGCAUGGUUCAUCUGACCUUGACCUCAUUUUCAUGGUUCAUUGGUCUUUGUUUAGCUAUCUUGGUUAAUGUUAAGUUUAUGUGACAGUUGUAAUAAAGCUUUAUACUUAGGACUAUCAACAUAAUAUCAAUGAUUACUAAAGAAGGCGAGACAUUUCAGUGUGUGCACUCUUGUUAAAAUCAAACUGAAAAUUCCAUCAGUACCAGAACAAAUUUUGAUGAUCAUUGCCUUUUUACUUUUAUCAGUAGCAGUAUUAAUUUAGGAGCACUAUACUAGGAUCUGGAAAGGGUUUUGAAAAUAGAGAAUUAGGAACUAAAAAUUAAAAUAAGGGGAAAAUGAGCCCAAAAAAAAAAUUUGGUGCUGAAAUAUAAAGAAUAGAGAAAAAAACAGCCAUUCAAAAUAAACAAAUAAAGAAACAAAGAACCUCAUACAUAUAUGUGUAUCAGUAUUUGAAUGGUUUUAUGUGUGCUUCAUAAUUGAAUUGUUAGAGUUUGUUAAGUUUUAUAUACGUUAUUUAUCCAUAUAAAUGAUAUUUUGUUUUUUCUAUGUAUUUUUGUCCC
rnacentral:lncRNA from 1 species